AUGCACCGCUGUCAAUGGAGGACGCAAACGUGACAGCGUUUUUUUUUCCCUCCUCUGUGGUCACGUGGUCCAGCGCGCUACUUGAUGGAAAAAUACUGGAUUUGGUGUGUAGCGGAGACAGUACACAGCCCAGUAAAGUCAUUCUGAGAGGAUAUUUCGAAGGGCGUUUUGAAUGUUUACCCAGCAACACUAUCUACCGCUCAUUCUUUAUGUUUCUUAGAAACCUGUAAGACUCGCUUUUUAUUAUUAUUAUUAUUAUGAUGAUGAUGUCAAAGUAGUCAGAGGUGGGAAGUAAUAUCUAUUUUUAAAGUCCAAGUCGGACUGAGAUGCACGUCAGUCAGUGAAAUUGCGCAAACUGCAAGAAAAUCCAUUACCAGUCGGGUUGUUUCAGAGUUGCACGCUGCUCAUGAGAAGCGUACGUGUUAUGUUAUAGUGCAUGUCAUGAUGAUACACUACAAGGGGAACUGACUGCACACAACUUGCAGUGUAAUGUCAAAGCUAUUCGUAUUAAUGAAAAGUUUUUUUUCUUUUUGCAUAUUUUCCAUGUCGAAAAUAAGUUAUGUUAUUUCACCUGUUCUGCCAGUGUGCCAAUGGCGUCCCAGUGUCCUUGGAUCAGCCUCACACCUCAGACAGUUGGCCUAUAUCCGAGCCUUUGUUAUUAACAAACAAGAUUUCAAAGCCUAUUAUCUAUGUGUGGAGUCAUGCACGCCAUUUGCUUUGCCCUCCGUCCUGUCACAGAGUGCCUGACCCUCAGGAGGACAGGAUGUGCACAUUUCUAGAUACAAACAGGUCAUCCUGCUUUUUGGGAAUGUAAUAGACUAGGCAAAGCUAUCUGAAGUCCAAUUUAUAUUAUGUGCAAGGAAAGUGUAAGUGCAAAUCAACAAACCUCCAAGUAGGUGUGUGACCUCUGCAGGAAAAAGUGUCAGGUACAAUUUAUAGCGAAGCCUCAGAUAUUGAAAAAUGGAUCUAAACCCAUACCACAGCUGAAGGCUGAUUUUUUUUUUUUUUUUUUUUUUUCCCAUAAAGCCAGAAAAGCUUUUUUUAAACAUCAGCCGUGUCUUCACUGUAGGGUCCACCAGUGCCCUUAUCAUAGAAAGUAGGCCACACUGUUUAAAGUUUAUGUCACUCUGAUAUCAUUAAAAAUAGAUGUAGUACUAUGAAAAUCCUCAUCGUGUCAUUCAUUUUCCCACCCUACACGAGCCCAGCUGCCCGCAGGGCCUCACUGUCCACACAAAUGAGGUUCUCUGGUAGAGCGGUGCUGG
ensembl:lncRNA